UUGAAAAUUGGUGUUCUGAGCUUUGAGUUGUGCACACAAUAUUUUCCCAUUCUUUUCUAAAACUUCAAUCAACUGACACUGCAAAGUGUUUGUUUCCUCAUCGCCAUCUGCACCAAAUCGUCUCCACUUACGUUGCACCUGUGGAACAAAAGCUUAGCCCAGCGCGCAACAAAACCACGACUCCACAUUAUAUAAACUAUAAAGUACAUUUUUCUGGCACAGAAAAUAAGGUAUUAUAUUUUGAUGAAACUCCAAAUUAUAAUUUUAGUGCACCCUCGGCUUACCAAUAUUUCAUUUCAUUCUAUUUAGUUGCAAAGAGUAUAUACAUGGAGUUUUGUCAACUUGCAUAUGUUUUGUUGAGUAAAAGAUCAGGUAUACCACGCCACUUAUCAUCCCCUCUUCCCAUAGAGGAGACAUAAAGAAAUAGAAAAGGUACCAUGAUCGUGUGCACUUAUAUUUUCAGCUAUUCCUUUAUUUAUUUCUUUUAAACAUUUCGAUAAUUUCAGAUAGAAGCUAUCAAUAACCAAAACAAUUUAGCACUAGUUAAGAUCUGUGCUUGAGUAGGGCUGAAAAUUGAUGUGUUAAACUAGACAAAGAACCUGACUUUGACAAAAUGAAUAAAUAAGAUGGUUAUACCUUUGCCAGGGCCAUACAGAUUACCCAAAUGACCAAAUUCAUGAAGAUAAGGAAGUGGGGUCCUACAUUUGGAUAUAUUGAUACUGAAAAUUGACCUGAUCGAACCAAAAUUAUUUGCAAACCAUUAUCCAACUGUUAUAAUUCCUACCUGUGGUACAAUAAGUUGUGACAAAUCCUAUGAUCGAAAAAGACUCCACACCAAAUAUACCCUAGUCAGACUCCAUUUGGAUAAUCGUGGUCUAACAUUGAGCGAGCUAGACAAAAGAUGCACAUAGGAAGGUACAUCAAAAUUCUAUCAGCCAGGCUUUGACCGAAUUUCCUCUAUACACAUGGAAAACACUCAAAAUUGACAAAUUUGAAUGAGGGAUGAGCCAGUGAAGGUGUUAAACAACACUUUUGGUCACUAUAGGAUCAUUCUUAAGAAACUAGUUUGAGAGUACCGUCAACCAAAAAGCAUAUCAAUCCAAGUUGAACAAAAAACUUCCACUUGCUACAAUUCUAUAGCCUGAUGUGGAAAUGUUACUAGAAAGGGAACCCCAUGUCAAAUUAGAACCACCAAAAAUGAGAAAUAGUCACUCUUAUAAUGCCUUAUUGACUCAUCCCGGUUUGCAUUAUUAAAAAAUCAAUCAAGAAAACGUUGGCAUGACAACGAUGGACUAGAACUGUAUUUUUGACACCUCUAAAUUACUACUAAUGCAGUGCGUGUUUGCGAUACAUGAACCACUAAGAUGGUUUUUCUGUUUUCUUAAUGUACAAGUUCAUUAACACAAUCGAAGCAGCAACAAAUAUACUUGGAAUUGUGAGCCAAUUAAAAAGUGUUGUCCCAAAUCAUCCAAAGCAAGCACCAUAUCUAACAUAAACUAUACCAAUGAAUAUGGUUUUUUAAAUAACGAACAGAGGAGGAAACAAAUAUAAAAGCUUGACACUUGCAUAUAAAGUUUCUACAAUUUAGUCAGAAUAACAUUACGUUGAGAAAAUGGUUGGUAUUUGUGGGAGCCGAAUAAUUGGAGGUCGAUAGUGUCGGAUGUAGGUAUGAGAUCAGUCAGGAACGUAACUUUUAUUCAGCAUUAAUCCUAGUCGAUUGAAGAGCCGAAUAAAAUAAUCAGCAUUCCAGCCGAAUAAAAUAAUCAGCAUUUCAACCAGUAGAAUAGAAGCUGAGUAGAUGUACAUGCAAUGGAUCAAGAGUGGACCCGACCGUAAGGCCCAAGGGGAAUAAUAUAAAUAGAGGAUCCCAAGUGAGAGAAAGGUAUAUGAGAAUUAGUACGCUGAACUUAAAUACAAGCAAUCGAGAGAGUAUACUGACUUAUCCGACUUAUCCGUUGGAGUGCUGAUUCCGAUACCCGACCGGAGUGUUCAUUCAUUUUCAGGUUACUAGUUGAGGAUCUCGAGUACCCCAUUAGAUCCAAAGAAUAUUUCCAGAACUACUUCCCCCACAGUAUUGUUUCUAUGUAAAUGAAGAUAUAAAAAAUGAAUCAGAACAACCUCAGGAUUGCAAUUUCAACCCGAAGGUUGUAAUACUAAUAAUAACAACAACAAAAACAUUAAACCACAGAUAAAAAGAAAGAAAGAAAACAGUAAUAAUAAUAAAAAUUAUUAUAAUAAGCUAACGCCUGUAUGGUUAAGCCC